CGGGGUGCAGCAGGCGCGAAAACUUUACAAUGCUGGCAACAGCGAUAAGGGGACCUUGAGUGCCAGGAUACAAUCCUGGCUGUCGUGAUGCCUAAAAAGCAUUAUAUAGCAAGGGCCGGGCAAGACCGGUGCCAGCCGCCGCGGUAACACCGGCGGCUCGAGUGGUAACCGCUAUUAUUGGGUCUAAAGGGUCUGUAGCCGGCUUGGUUAGUCUCUUGGGAAAUCCGGCAGCUUAACUGUCGGGCUUUCAGGAGAUACUGCCAGGCUCGAGACCGGGAGAGGUGAGAGGUACUUCAUGGGUAGGGGUGAAAUCUUGUAAUCCUUGAAGGACCACCAGUGGCGAAGGCGUCUCACCAGAACGGAUCUGACGGCAAGGGACGAAAGCUAGGGGCACGAACCGGAUUAGAUACCCGGGUAGUCCUAGCCGUAAACGAUACUCGCUAGGUGUCGGCCACGGUGCGACCGUGGUCGGUGCCGUAGGGAAGCCGUGAAGCGAGCCACCUGGGAAGUACGGCCGCAAGGCUGAAACUUAAAGGAAUUGGCGGGGGAGCACAAGGGCGAAUCGCG
rnacentral:rRNA from 1 species